rnacentral:rRNA from 1 species
AACGAACGCUGGCGGCAGGCCUAACACAUGCAAGUCGAGCGCCCUUUCGGGGGAGCGGCGGACGGGUGAGUAACGCGUGGGAAUAUGCCCUUCUCUACGGAAUAGCCUCGGGAAACUGAGAGUAAUACCGUAUACGCCCUGUGGGGGAAAGAUUUAUCGGGGAAGGAUUAGCCCGCGUUGGAUUAGGUAGUUGGUGGGGUAAUGGCCUACCAAGCCGACGAUCCAUAGCUGGUUUGAGAGGAUGAUCAGCCACACUGGGACUGAGACACGGCCCAGACUCCUACGGGAGGCAGCAGUGGGGAAUCUUAGACAAUGGGGGCAAACCUGAUCUAGCCAUGCCGCGUGAGUGAUGAAGGCCUUAGGGUUGUAAAGCUCUUUCAGCUGGGAAGAUAAUGACGGUACCAGCAGAAGAAGCCCCGGCUAACUCCGUG